rnacentral:rRNA from 1 species
GUUAUUAAGGGUGCAGGGCGGAUGCCUUGGCACUAGGAGCCGAUGAAGGACGUGAUAAGCUGCGAUAAGCUUCGGGGAGUUGCACGUAAACUUUGAUCCGAAGAUUUCCGAAUGAGGAAACUCACUUAGAGUAAUGUCUAAGUAUCAUUAAGUGAAUACAUAGCUUAAUGAGGGGAACUCAGGGAACUGAAACAUCUAAGUACCUGAAGGAAGAGAAAGAAAUUCGAUUCCGUAAGUAGCGGCGAGCGAACGCGGAUUAGCCCAAACCAAUAAAGUUUUCUUUAUUGGGGUUGCGGACAUAUCAUAACGAAGAGGUAUCGUAAUUGAAGAGGUUUGGAAAGACCCACCACAGAAGGUAAUAGUCCUGUAUGUUAAACGAGAAGACUUUAGAUAUGAUCCAGAGUACCACGGGACACGUGAAACCCUGUGGGAAGCAGGAGGGACCACCCUCCAAGGCUAAAUACUACCUAGUGACCGAUAGCGUAUAGUACCGUGAGGGAAAGGUGAAAAGAACCCCGGGAGGGGAGUGAAAUAGAACCUGAAACCCUGCACUUACAAGCUGUGGAAGCACAUUUCUUGUGUGACCGCGUACUUUUUGUAGAACGGGCCAACGAGUUACGUUAAGUAGCAAGGUUAAGCACUUAAGGUGCGGAGCCGUAGCGAAAGCGAGUUUUAACUGAGCGUUCAGUUACUUGACGUAGACCCGAAACCGGGCGACCUACCCAUGAGCAGGAUGAAGCGAAAGUAAAAUUUCGUGGAGGUCCGAACCCACGAGCGUUGAAAAGCUCGGGGAUGACUUGUGGGUAGCGGUGAAAUUCCAAUCGAGCCCGGAGAUAGCUGGUUCUCCCCGAAAUAGCUUUAGGGCUAGCCUCAAGGUGAGAGAUACGGAGGUAGAGCACUGAAUGUCCUAGGGGGUAUUGCACCUACCGAAGACUAUCAAACUCCGAAUGCCGUCAUCUUAUACUUGGGAGUCAGACUGUGGGUGAUAAGAUUCAUAGUCGAAAGGGCAACAGCCCAGAUCGUCAGCUAAGGUCCCUAAAUGUAAGUUAAGUGGUAAAGGAUGUGGGAUUGCACAGACAACCAGGAUGUUGGCUUAGAAGCAGCCACUCAUUCAAAGAGUGCGUAAUAGCUCACUGGUCGAGUGAUCCUGCGCCGAAGAUUUCCGGGGCUAAAACUUACUACCGAAGCUACGGCAUCAGUAAUGAUGGGUAGGGGAGCUUCCCAUACGGGUUGAAGCAUGACCGUAAGGACAUGUGGACAGUAUGGGAGUGAGAAUGUUGGCAUGAGUAGCGAGAUGUGGGUGAGAAUCCCACAGGCCGUAAACCCAAGGUUUCCAGGGGAAGGUUCGUCCGCCCUGGGUUAGUCGGGACCUAAGCUGAGGCCGAAAGGCGUAGGUGAUGGACAACAGGUUGAUAUUCCUGUACUACCGAUAACCGUUUGAGAGAAGGGAUGACACAGUAGGAUAAGCUAAGCACACUGUUGGUUAUGUGUGCCCAAGCAUUGAGGCAGUCAAAGUAGGCAAAUCCGCUUUGAUAAUGCUGGGAUGUGAUGGGGAGCGAAAUUUAGUAGCGAAGUAGCUGAUUUCACACUGUCAAGAAAAGUCUCUAUCGAGGUUAAAGGUACCCGUACCGCAAACCGACACAGGUGGGUGAGGAGAGUAUCCUAAGGCCAGCGAGAGAACUGUUGUUAAGGAACUCGGCAAAAUGACCCCGUAACUUAGGGAUAAGGGGUGCCACCAUCAGGUGGCCGCAGAGAAUAGGCCCAAGCGACUGUUUACCAAAAACAUAGGUUUCUGCUAAGUCGCAAGACGAUGUAUAGGAGCUGACGCCUGCCCGGUGCUGGAAGGUUAAGGGGAUCUGUUAGAGCAAUCGAAGCAGUGAACUUAAGCCCCAGUAAACGGCGGCCGUAACUAUAACGGUCCUAAGGUAGCGAAAUUCCUUGUCGGGUAAGUUCCGACCCGCACGAAAGGCGUAACGAUUUGGGCACUGUCUCAACAACAGACUCGGUGAAAUUGUAAUUCCGGUGAAGAUGCCGGAUACCUGCGACAGGACGGAAAGACCCCAUGGAGCUUUACUGUAGCUUGACAUUGGGUCUUGGUACUACAUGUACAGGAUAGGUGGGAGGCUUUGAAACCAGGACGCCAGUUUUGGCGGAGCCAUCCUUGGGAUACCACCCUUGUAGUACUGGGACUCUAACCAUAGGCCAUGAAUCUGGUCUUGGGACACUGUCAGGUGGGCAGUUUGACUGGGGCGGUCGCCUCCCAAAAGGUAACGGAGGCGCUCAAAGGUUCUCUCAGUACGGUCGGAAAUCGUACGUAGAGUGUAAAGGCAAAAGAGAGCUUGAUUGCAAGACAUACAGGUCGAGCAAGGAUGAAAAUCGGACUUAGUGAUCCGGUGGUUCUGCGUGGAAGGGCCAUCGCUCAACGGAUAAAAGCUACCCUGGGGAUAACAGGCUUAUCUCCCCCAAGAGUCCACAUCGACGGGGAGGUUUGGCACCUCGAUGUCGGCUCAUCACAUCCUGGGGCUGUAGUAGGUCCCAAGGGUUGGGCUGUUCGCCCAUUAAAGUGGUACGCGAGCUGGGUUCAGAACGUCGUGAGACAGUUCGGUCCCUAUCCGUCGCAGGCGUAGGAAAUUUGAGAAGACCUGUCCUUAGUACGAGAGGACCGGGAUGGACGUACCUCUGGUGUACCAGUUGUCCUGCCAAGGGCAUGGCUGGGUAGCUAUGUACGGAAUGGAUAAGCGCUGAAAGCAUCUAAGCGCGAAGCCAACUUCAAGAUAAGAUUUCCCACCGCAAGGGUAAGACCCCAGAAAGACUAUCUGGUUGAUAGGUCGAAGGUGUAAGUGCAGCAAUGUAUUUAGCUUAUCGAUACUAAUAGGUCGAGGACUUGACCAAU